GCGCUGGCCACGACCGCCAAUCUCGGCCAGCCCCCGCUGUACCCUCGCCUAUGUCUUGCCCCGUGAUCCUCUCCCCCUCGUCGUCGUCGCCCGCCCUUCCAUCCACGCGUCGUGCCCCCAUCCACGCUCUGCAUCGAUCCCCUUCCAUCGGCGCAUCCGAUGAGGAUCCACACCUGUCGCGCCCGUUCGUCAUCGGCGCCCCACAUCGAUCCCCGCGCAUCGUCGGUGCCCCCCCUCCAUAGUUGCAAAGAUCCGGGGGGGAGUGGAGACGCCCGGACUGAUGGUGUCCCGUGCACGGAGGGGAGCUCCGAUCUAGGACGCGACAGGGAGUCAGGGAGCGCACACACACAGCAGCGGCGCCUCUGCUUGCUCCUAGCCGCGCCAUGGCUGCCGCGGUCCUCCACCUCUCCCUCCACGGCCGCCUCCUCCGCUCUAUCGAUUAGGCUCGCCAAACUCUCCGUCCACGGCCGCCUCCGCCGCGCACCUCCUCCAUGCCAUCGAGAAGGCGGAGGAUGCGAUGUCGAACCGCCAUCAGGUUCAUGUUCUCGCGUGGCCUCACCAGACGCGCAGGUCCUCCUCUGCGGCGUCGAGAAGGCGGAGGACGCAACGACGAGCCAAGCCUCCUCCACGUAGGACCUUGGGAAGCUGGAGUCUGACGCGCAAAAGGAGGACACCUACUACAUGCUCAUGCAGAUCCAGUCGCGCGUGGUCUCCUUCGAGGAGCAGAUUGGAAGGAGCUCGGAGGGCUGGGGCGAUGACCUGAGUUUUAUGGAGAGAGGAUGCCAGAGCUGCGAAGCAGCACUCGCCAAGCAUGCCUAAGGUCGAAGAAGCUUGAAGAUCUGCACCAGAUUAGUCAUGAAGAUUAUGCAGACGUAUCAGUUGUUCAAGAACUGCAGCAUGCGUUAGAGGAGUACUUUUGCCAGUUGUUCUUGGUUUAACAACAACGAAAGAGAGCCGUCUCGAAUCGUCAGUGCAGUUCAGGUGGAAGACCUUAGAUGAAUCUCCUCUGUACUUUUUUGUAAAAUUUCUGAGUUAUAUAAAUUGUAUGAGAUGUGUGUUAAUUACAUGUAAAAAAUGCAUGGUUAGCCAGUAACCGGUUUUUGUAAAAAGUUUAGCAACGCUAACCAGUACUGCUUAUGCGUGUGAGCAAUGGCCAUUGUGCAAACUGCCUUCAAAAGAAGAAGAUGAGAUGGAUGGAAAU